rnacentral:rRNA from 1 species
CCUACGGGGUGCUGCAGUGGGGAAUAUUGGACAAUGGGGGCAACCCUGAUCCAGCCAUGCCGCGUGUGUGAAGAAGGCCCUCGGGUUGUAAAGCACUUUCAGUGAGGAAGAACGCCUGGUGGUUAAUACCCAUCAGGAAAGACAUCACUCACAGAAGAAGCACCGGCUAACUCCGUGCCAGCAGCCGCGGUAAUACGGAGGGUGCGAGCGUUAAUCGGAAUUACUGGGCGUAAAGCGCGCGUAGGUGGCUUGAUAAGCCGGUUGUGAAAGCCCCGGGCUCAACCUGGGAACGGCAUCCGGAACUGUCAAGCUAGAGUGCAGGAGAGGAAGGUAGAAUUCCCGGUGUAGCGGUGAAAUGCGUAGAGAUCGGGAGGAAUACCAGUGGCGAAGGCGGCCUUCUGGACUGACACUGACACUGAGGUGCGAAAGCGUGGGUAGCAAACAGGAUUAGAUACCCGAGUAGUC